rnacentral:rRNA from 1 species
UGGGGAAUAUUGGACAAUGGGCGAAAGCCUGAUCCAGCAACGCCGCGUGAGGGAUGACGGCCUUCGGGUUGUAAACCUCUUUCAGUAGGGACGAAGCGCAAGUGACGGUACCUACAGAAGAAGCACCGGCCAACUACGUGCCAGCAGCCGCGGUAAUACGUAGGGUGCGAGCGUUGUCCGGAAUUAUUGGGCGUAAAGGGCUCGUAGGCGGUUUGUCACGUCGGGAGUGAAAACUCAGGGCUUAACCCUGAGCCUGCUUCUGAUACGGGCAGACUAGAGGUAUGCAGGGGAGAACGGAAUUCCUGGUGUAGCGGUGAAAUGCGCAGAUAUCAGGAGGAACACCGGUGGCGAAGGCGGUUCUCUGGGCAUUACCUGACGCUGAGGAGCGAAAGUGUGGGGAGCGAACAGG